rnacentral:misc_RNA from 1 species
CCAUUUGAGUAGUACUUGUCCACAACCCUUUCGUCGACACUGUUUCCGUUGCGGUCGGGAAAAUGUAACUACCCGUUCAUGUCCAAAUUGUAGUAGGUCGGGAAACCCAAGGGCGAACUGUUAGUUAGUCGAGAGAUCAGUUCGAUUCCUAAGGUCUCGACUAGUAACCCCAGCUACCCUAUUCUAGAUUACGCCUUCGCACAGUGCAAGGGUGAUGAUCGUCCUCAUCUCGAAGUCUCGAUAUUUGGUAUGAAAUUUAUUGGCUUAUUGGAUUCUGGAGCAAAUGUUACUGCUAUUGGUUUAAGCAUAUGGGAUAUAUUACAACGUUCAGACAUACAAUUGUUAUCAUCACCUUUUUCUCAGUGCAAUUUUGGAAAUCAUAGUUCUAGUAAAGUGAUUGGCGCAAUUAACUUACCUAUUGUUUUGUAUGAUAAGGUAGCGGUUUGCAAUGUUUUGGUAGUGGAGAAAUUGAGUUGUCCAUUGAUAUUGGGUACCGAUUUUUGGAAAACUGUUGGUGUCGUUCCUGAUUUGCAAAAUGGUUGUUGGUAUUUUGGUGUGCCGUCUCAGGACAUCUGUAUCACUGAAGCCAUUAUUCCUCAGAAAACUUUAACCCCAGAACAGCGAUCCGCCUUGGAUAAAUUGACUUCAAAAUACUUUUCUUUAAUGGGUGGUAAACUUGGUCGAACAGAUUUAGUGAAGCAUCAGAUUAAUACUGGUAAUGCCCAACCCAUUCGUUUGCGCCCUUAUAGAUACUCACCCGCCACUCUAAAGAUUAUCGAUGAGGAGGUUGAUAACAUGCUGCAACUCGAUAUUAUCGAGCCAUCACAAUCUGCCUGGUCUUUCCCUGCCUUAGUAGUACCGAAAGGUAAUGGUAAAUGGAGAUUUUGCGUGGACUAUCGAAAACUAAAUUCUGUUACGGCUAAGGAUGCUUAUCCGAUCCCUUUUAUUGAUAGUAUUUUGGACAAAUUAAGAAAUGCAAAGUAUCUUACUUCGUUAGAUGUUAACUCUGCAUAUUGGCAAAUCGAGGUUGAUGAACAUUCACGUGAUAAAACUAGUUUUUCUGUCCCUGGUCGGGGACUUUAUCGAUUUAAGAGAAUGCCAUUUGGGUUGACGAAUGCCCCUGCAACUUGGCAGCGAUUGGUAGAUACCUUAUUGGGAGCUGAUUUGGAGCCACAUGUCUUUGUUUAUUUAGAUGACGUAAUCUGUAUUUCUGAGACUUUUCAGCAACAUUUAGAGGUUUUGGAAGAGAUUUUCCAGAGAUUUCAUAGAGCCGGUAUAACACUCUCUCAGGAUAAGUGUAAAUUCUGUCGAUCCGAACUUAAGUAUUUAGGAUAUGUUGUCGAUAAAGAUGGACUUCAUGUCGACCCGGAUAAGGUGACAGCCGUAUUGAACAUUCCGACUCCAAAGAACACCACCGAAGUCCGACGUGUCAUCGGUAUGGCGUCCUGGUACAGGCGUUUUAUUCCUCAGUUCUCAACCGUUAUUUCUCCCCUUACCGCUCUUCUUUGUAAACACAAAAAGUGGAACUGGACCCCAGAAUGUCAAAAUUCGUUUCAGAACAUCAAAAAUUCGUUAGUUUCCGCUCCUGUACUUACUUGUCCUGAUUUCUCGAAACCCUUUUUGGUUCAGACUGAUGCCUCAGCGUAUGGGAUCGGUGCUGUAUUAUCUCAAGAGUUUGAUGAUGGUGAACAUGUUAUCUGUUACAUAUCUCGAUCUCUGUCUAAAGCAGAGAGGAAUUUUUCCACCACAGAGAGAGAACUGUUGGCCAUUAUUUAUGCUUGCGAGAAAUUACGACCCUACUUAGAGGGAUACUCCUUUAAAGUGAUAACAGAUCAUCAUAGUCUGAAAUGGAUUCAUAGUCUGAAGGAACCAACAGGACGGCUUGCCAGAUGGGUUUUGCGGUUGCAACAAUUCGAUUUUGAGGUUAUUCAUAGAAAGGGCCAAGAUCAUGUUGUGCCGGAUGUUCUCAGUAGAGCUGUGCCAGAGAUUGCUAAAUUGAGUGUAUACCAGGAACCAGAAGUUGCAGAUAAGUGGUAUCGGAGAGUUUUCAAUCAGGUCGUAGAGAAUCCUAUUAAUUAUCCCCAAUGGCGAAUUGAAGGAAAUUUACUUUACAAGUAUGUGAAAUGUUCUUACCCGUCUCUUCGAGAUGAUGAAGAUUUCUGGAAGGAAGUAGUACCCAAGGAUCGAAGACGUAUGAUUUUGGAAGAAAAUCAUGAUCAUCCCUUGGCUGGUCAUGGUGGUGUCAUGAAGACAUACGAACGAUUGAAGCGUCGUUAUUAUUGGCCAAAAAUGAGAGCUGAUGUCCUCCGAUAUGUUAGGCAUUGCGCCAAAUGUAUUUCGCAAAAGCCCCUCCGGGAGCGACACGGAUUAAUGGGACAACAAACUCAAGUUUUGAAGCCAUGGAACACGAUUAGCGUCGAUCUUUUUGGGCCCUUGCCUCGUUCUACUCAGGGAUACAAAUACGUAUUGGUCGUCUUGGAUACCUUCACUAAAUUUCCUUUGUUCUUCCCUCUUUGCUCAGCUAAGGCCCCUAUGAUUUGUCGUCUUAUAGAGGAACAAGUUUUUCUCAUUUUUGGUGUUCCCCAAUUUCUUAUUUGCGAUAAUGGUGCUCAAUUUCGAGGUGAACUUUUUUCCAAACUGUGUGAGCAGUAUAAGGUCAAUAUCCGAUAUACUCCGGCUUAUCAUCCCCAGGCCAACCCCGUGGAGCGUGUGAAUCAAGUCCUUAAAACCAUGUUAAGUUGUUAUAUUGAGGAUAAUCAUAAGAAUUGGGAUCGACUUCUACCUAAGGUUGGUUCUGCCAUAAGAUCUUCGGUGCAUGAAGCCACCGGGCUCACUCCCUAUUUUAUGAAUUUUUCCAGAGAAUAUAUGCCCUCGGGCGACCAACACAAUAAUAGGGAUGUUCCCAGUAUCACGGUUGGCGACUUUAUGGCACGUUCACGUGAAUUAAGUAAAGUAUAUAGGGACGUUGAGGAAAGACUGAAAGCGGCGCAUCAGAGAUCAAAGAAUCGUUAUAAUCUUCGACGAAGACCAAUUAGUUUUGAGAUCGGUGAGCGAGUUUAUCGCAAAAAUUACGAUCUUUCUGAUGCUAGUAAAAACUUUACCGCCAAACUCGCACCAAAAUUUUUGGGCCCCUUUACAAUAAAGAAGAAGUUAUCUCCGGUAGCCUAUGAACUGAUUGACGAAAAGCGCAAGUUUAAGGGUGCUUGGCAUGUUAAAGAUUUGAAAAAGAUCCCAAAAGAAGAGCUACUCGUUGAUUCCGAUUCCGAUUAGACUUUAUCGAUUUUGCUUACUGGUCGGGACGUAUGUUUUUUUUUUUUUGUGUUUUACUUAUUAGUUCUUUUGAUUUUUCAAUUCUAAUAUAAUUUCUUUUUCUCCAGUUUCUUUCCUCAAAGCUGUGCGGACUGGGUAUUUUGAUGUUUUUGCGGUUAUUGGAUAGUAGCUACCUUGUUUGUUUUUCUCUUUCUAGUGAAGUUUCUUGUGGUGAAGGCCUACCACUUGAAGCAUUUUAGAUUUCCGAUUAGGAAUUCUAUCAGAAAUUACUAGAAAUUUUGUGUUAUUUGGUAUUUCGUUGGUUAUUAUAGUAUUAUUAUUUCAUGAGUCAAUCAAUUUGAAGUUUUAAUUUUUCUGACUUAUUUUAAUGCUUGAAUAGCAUUUUCAAAUAAUUAGAUUGUUCGCACAUUCUUUACUUCCCUUCCCAGUUGGAUGCUUACUUCUCUUCGCAUGAGAAUUACUUUUCUGGUAAUUCUCUUGGGGGAAGAGGGGGAGUUGUUGCAGGAUUAAUUGCGCUUUAGACGGGAUCUGGAGAAUCCUAACUUUUAUUCAUUUGGUUAAAAUAUUUAAAAAUGACUUUAUUCUAAAUUUUUCUUUCAAAACUGAGACACCCACCAUAAUUACAUUAAACCACUAUCAAUAUUAUCACCAUUUUAAUUCUUUGUUAUUGUUUACAAUAUGCUGUGCAUGGAGAAGAUUUCACGGCAAUUGAAUUGGUCAACCGGUUUACUAAAGCGGACGCCAGUGGCGCCGCGUGUCGAAUUAUUACGAUUUGGCCCGUAAUUGUACUUUCCACUAGGCACUCCAUGGUUUGCUUAUUAGUGACCUAUGUAUGGGUUUUGGUUGGGCCCAUAGCGGCUAAACCCAUAAAGUAACGAGUGAAGUUCCUCAAUCUCCGGUCUUGCGCCCAGACGUCUUUUGGACUACUACUUAAGCAGUUCCGCGACGCAUCUGGGGGUCUUUCCAGCUCCUGCGUCCGUCAAGAGUGAACCGUGCUGCCCGCUGUGACGGAGAGAGGUUUGAAAUAAAUCUAUUAUCAUCUCUCUCCGCCAGCACCUUUUUUGCUAAAAUAACAUCUAAAACUAAAAUGCAUUAGUGUUUCUUCAGUUUCAACGAAGUAUUUUUGAAGCAGGAUGGGUUUUAGUAGUUUGAUGCCUCUCGAAACUUCGUAAGUAGUUUUCACCGUUGGUGACAUUUUAUUUGGUGUUCCGUGUUUCCAUUGAGAAAUCUCUCUUAGGGCUCCUUAAAUAUGACAGUGUAAACCGCCAGCCGUGACCCAGCAGUAAUGAGGAUUUCGCCCUGAAGCCUGAAAAAUAAUUUCGCCGCCCUUAGCCCCGUCAACACACAUCAUGCCGUAAGCCCUAUGUGGUGAAAAAUUGCCCAUCGCGGGCUCUCGCCCCCGAAAGAAGAACACCAUGGAACUUGACCCUUAGUAGACGUCUCUGAAAACCAAGUGACAGAAAUUCAAAAACUCGCCUUUAAAGACUUGUUUCUCUCCACCAUAGUAUUGUCGAAAAACAACAUAAGUACUAUCGAGAAUGGCGCUUUUGAAAACUGCGCCAAUAUUACUA